UGAAACCUUGAGAACUAUGAG
ensembl:piRNA 21ur-4330 ncRNA